GCUUCAUCUUAACCUCAACGACGACAAUGAAUUUUCCUCACGUUCAGGACGCAUACAAAUACGAUGCACAACUUCAUCACACCAAACGCCAAAUCUACUUUUUUCAUAAGCAAAAUUGAAGAUUGACAAUGACGAACACGAUGAAGCAACAACGUACACGACGAAUUCCAAAUGCAAAGGCAAAAACUUUAUAAACUUUCAAUCGGUUGAAACCAAGUUCAAGCACAGCUUCAUCCGUGUUUUCCAUGGCCUCACAUCUUCUCUCUCGGAUACACAUUUUGAAACGAAAAGACGAUGAAGCAGAAGACUUCAACAUUAAUUUCCAUCUCCGAAAUAAAACAACCAUCAUUCAAUCUCAAUUCAGGACGCGCACGGUAUCGAAAUGAAAUGGAAUCAGAUUUAGAGUAAAAACUUACCAGAUCGAAGUUACGAAGAGGAGUAGGGUCUUUUGAAGAACUUGCAUCACUAUCUGAGUUCAAUUCACUGAAGUUUUGAAAUUUUGAAAAAGGAUUUGCUGAUGCAAGGUGAGAGGACAAACCUUUUGAUGUCACAGAACUAAAAUGAGGAAUUAUCAUUUCUUUUUCCAGUCUCUCAUGGGUAACUUGUGAGAGGAUUAAUAAAUGUGAAAGCUCAACUGUCAAUUUCAUCCCAGUAGUUCUCAAUUCAAAUGUUAGACGGAUGUCAACCUCCAUUAUAAUUUCUUGGUAACCCCAGAUUCAUUUUCAAGUGCUAAAAUGAGAGCAAAGUGAGACAAAGAUAAGUCAAAUGCAUUUGAUAAUCUACUUUCAGCUUGUUGAGAUAUGCCAAUAGUCCUUUGAUCAAUAUCAAUAUUAGACCUCUCCCUGCCAUCUUCUGCCAAAUUGAUGCUUUUAUCAUGUAUUAAUUUGCCCAUGAAAUUUGAUGUAUGACAUGGGAUUAAUGUAUUUGAAUUGAAUGGAAUUGGAAUUGGCUUAUGAUGGAAAUUCUUGUAAAUGCAAAACAAAUUAUGAUGAUUGGUUCUAUA